UGGGGAAUCUUGGACAAUGGGCGCAAGCCUGAUCCAGCGACGCCGCGUGGGUGAAGAAGGCCUUCGGGUUGUAAAGCCCUUUCACCGGGGACGAUGAUGACGGUACCCGGAGAAGAAGCACCGGCUAACUCCGUGCCAGCAGCCGCGGUAAGACGGAGGGUGCUAGCGUUGUUCGGAAUCACUGGGCGUAAAGGGCGCGUAGGCGGCGACGGAAGUCGGGUGUGAAAGCCCGGAGCUCAACUCCGGAACGGCACUCGAAACUUUGUUGCUGGAGGUCGGAAGAGGAGAGUGGAAUACCCAGUGUAGAGGUGAAAUUCGUAGAUAUUGGGUGGAACACCAGUGGCGAAAGCGGCUCUCUGGUCCGGACCUGACGCUGAGGCGCGAAAGCGUGGGGAGCAAACAGGAUUAGAUACCCCCGUAGUCC
rnacentral:rRNA from 1 species